CCGGCAAAUCAGUACGGUCAGCUCCUGCUGAAUUCCCCCAGGACCGGAAGGUAGCAAGGGUAGGUAGUUGAGCGACCGGUACUUGGUUUGCCUUUUU
rnacentral:SRP_RNA from 1 species